UGGGGAAUAUUGCACAAUGGGCGCAAGCCUGAUGCAGCCAUGCCGCGUGUGUGAAGAAGGCCUUCGGGUUGUAAAGCACUUUCAGCGGGGAGGAAGGCGAUAAGGUUAAUAACCUUGUCGAUUGACGUUACCCGCAGAAGAAGCACCGGCUAACUCCGUGCCAGCAGCCGCGGUAAUACGGAGGGUGCAAGCGUUAAUCGGAAUUACUGGGCGUAAAGCGCACGCAGGCGGUCUGUCAAGUCGGAUGUGAAAUCCCCGGGCUUAACCUGGGAACUGCAUUCGAAACUGGCAGGCUAGAGUCUUGUAGAGGGGGGUAGAAUUCCAGGUGUAGCGGUGAAAUGCGUAGAGAUCUGGAGGAAUACCGGUGGCGGAGGCGGCCCCCUGGACAAAGACUGACGCUCAGGUGCGAAAGCGUGGGGGGCAAACAGG
rnacentral:rRNA from 1 species